UCUCACACAUUCUGCACUCACACCAAACAAUUUCCAGAACAUUCCAGACAAAGGAUUACAUCGUGCGGCAGACCGAAGGCAGGAGUUUGAUGGAGGGCAGGUGCAUGGGUCGUUGGAAGGAGAGCAACUAAAAAUGACCUGGCCAGAGGGCUGAGCUGCAAGAGGAAGCAGAUGACUGCAGGGCUGGAGCAGCUGUCAUCGGGGCAUGAAGGAGAUGUCAUUGGGGGAGAAGGAGAUGUCAGCUAUGAGGCAACAUGCCAGCAGCAAAACAGGACAGCUAGAUCAUGACAAAGCCGCGUUCUCCACACAAAGCCUUCACCUCCAGUCCCGCUGCUGCCUUCCUGAAUCUAUGUGAUGUGUACAUACCAUCGGAUGGUGAAGCCACCGGACUGGGUACUGCCACACAUCAGUGUAUUUACUGCACUCACAACGCAUUUGUGCCCUUGUAUCAAGCCAAUAAAACG